UUUCCGUAGGUGAACCUGCGGAAGGAUCAUUAUUGUAUAACCGAGGUGCGAGGGCUGUCGCUGACCCGACAGGUCGUGCACGCACGAGUGCCCUCACACGCAUCCAUCUCACCCCUAUGUGCACCACCGCGUGGGUCCCCCUUUGGCUUGUUCGGAGGGGGGCUUACGUUUUCACACAAACUUUGUAUGCAGUGUAGAUUGUAUUUUUUGUUUUUGCGAUCACGCAAUCAAUACAACUUUCAACAACGGAUCUCUUGGCUCUC
rnacentral:misc_RNA from 1 species